AGCCGCGGUAAUUCCAGCUCCAAUAGCGUAUAUUAAAGUUGUUGCAGUUAAAAAGCUCGUAGUUGAAUUUCGGGGUUAGUAGGUUGGUCAUGCCUCUGGUAUGUACUGGUCUCACUGAUUCCUCCUUCCUGAUGAACCUUAAUGCCAUUUAUUUGGUGUUUUGGGGAAUUUGGACUGUUACUUUGAAAAAAUUAGAGUGUUUAAAGCAAGCUAACGCUUGAAUACAUUAGCAUGGAAUAAUGAAAUAGGACGUUCGAUCCUAUUUUGUUGGUUUCUAGGAUUGACGUAAUGAUUAAUAGGGAUAGUUGGGGGCAUUAGUAUUCAAUUGUCAGAGGUGAAAUUCUUGGAUUUAUUGAAGACUAACUACUGCGAAAGCAUUUGCCAAGGAUGUUUUCAUUAAUCAAGAACGAAAGUUAGGGGAUCGAAGACGAUCAGAUACCGUCGUAGUCUUAACCAUAAACUAUGCCGACUAGGGAUCGGAUGAUGUUAAUUUUUUAAUGACUCA
rnacentral:rRNA from 1 species